CCUACGGGAGGCAGCAGUAAGGAAUAUUGGUCAAUGGACGCAAGUCUGAACCAGCCAUGCCGCGUGCAGGAUGAAGGCCCUCUGGGUUGUAAACUGCUUUUAUAGGGGACGAAAAAGGGACUUUCUAGUUCAACUGACGGUACCCUAGGAAUAAGCACCGGCUAACUCCGUGCCAGCAGCCGCGGUAAUACGGAGGGUGCAAGCGUUAUCCGGAUUUACUGGGUUUAAAGGGUGCGUAGGUGGGUCGGUAAGUCAGCGGUGAAAUCUUCAAGCUUAACUUGGAAACUGCCAUUGAUACUAUCGAUCUUGAAUCAUCUGGAGGUAAGCGGAAUAUGUCAUGUAGCGGUGAAAUGCUUAGAUAUGACAUAGAACACCAAUUGCGAAGGCAGCUUACUACGGAUGUAUUGACACUGAGGCACGAAAGCGUGGGGAUCAAACAGGAUUAGAUACCCUGGUAGUCCACGCCCUAAACGAUGGAUACUCGACAUACGUGAUAUACUAUGUGUGUCUGAGCGAAAGCAUUAAGUAUCCCACCUGGGAAGUACGAUUGCAAGAUUGAAACUUCAAAUUGAGUUAGAGNGNGAGAGNGCGAGCGACACGAGGAGGAGG
rnacentral:rRNA from 1 species